ncrna:unclassified sequences Mu-gpT-DE RNA
CCCUGACAGGCGCAUAAUGCGUCUGACACUAGCCACGACAGGAGUAUAACAUG